rnacentral:tRNA from 1 species
GUCUGGCAGGACCGCGACGAGUCCACCAACUUUUUCCAGAAAUACGACCCCGAGCUGGUGAAGG